rnacentral:pre_miRNA from 1 species
UAUAAGGGAUUUUGAGUUUUUGCUUGCAAUGUUUGAUCACUCGUCUUAUUCAAAUUUUUUUGAAAUUAUUAAUUAUUUUAUUUGUGACUUACUUUAUUAUCUACAGUACUUUAAGCACAACUUUUCGUUUUUUACAUUUAAAAAAAAUUUGAAUAAGACGAGUGGUCAAACAUUGCAAGAAAAACUAAAAAUCCCUUAUA